rnacentral:rRNA from 1 species
UACGUAGGGUGCGAGCGUUGUCCGGAAUUAUUGGGCGUAAAGGGCUCGUAGGCGGUCUGCCACGUCGGGAGUGAAAACACGGGGCUUAACCCCGUGCCUGCUUCCGAUACGGGCAGACUAGAGGUAUGCAGGGGAGAACGGAAUUCCUGGUGUAGCGGUGAAAUGCGCAGAUAUCAGGAGGAACACCGGUGGCGAAGGCGGUUCUCUGGGCAUUACCUGACGCUGAGGAGCGAAAGUGUGGGGAGCGAACAGG